rnacentral:rRNA from 1 species
AGGACGAACGCUGGCGGCGUGCUUAACACAUGCAAGUCAAGGGGGGCCCAGCAAUGGGCAACCGGCGAACGGGUGCGUAACACGUGAGCAACCUACCGAAAUGUGGGGGAUAGCCGGCCUAACGGCCGAGUAAUACCGCAUACGCUCUCGAUGAGGCAUUUCAUUGAGAGGAAACCUACGGGACAUUUCGAGGGGCUCGCGGCCUAUCAGCUAGUUGGCGAGGUAACGGCUCACCAAGGCAACGACGGGUAGC